rnacentral:lncRNA from 1 species
CACACCCGCACAAAAAUCAUUUUUUUGGGAAGAUUUUCCCCCCAUUCCCACGGAUUUUAACCCUUUCUUUCCCCCCCAGGAGGGAGAAGCUCCCCACUUCCCUGGGCCCCGACGGCCGCGACGCCGACGCCACCUUCGGGGACAAGGAGAAGGAGUUCCUGUCCCUGGAUGACAUCCCCAGGACCAGCCAGGACAGCAUCAACAUGAGGAGGAGUCAGCAGCUCGCUGCCACCAACAUCGUUCCCCUGACCCCGAUGGCGCUGGUGGCCCCGGAGGAGGCGGAGAAGAAGGAAAAUCCCCUCCUGAGGUGACUCCCGAGUGUCCCCGUGCCCUGGUGCCAUUGUCCCUGUCCCCAUCCCCUGGUGCCAUUGUCCUGUGUCCCUGUCCCCAUCCCCUGGUGCCAUUGUCCUGUGUCCCCAUCCCCUGGUGCCAUUGUCCUGUGUCCCUGUCCCUGUCCCCAUCCCCUGGUGCCAUUGUCCCGUGUCCUGUGUCCCUGUCCCCAUCCCCUGGUGCCAUUGUCCUGUGUCCCUGUCCCCUGGUGCCAUUGUCCUGUGUCCUGUGUCCCUGUCCCCAUCCCCUGGUGCCAUUGUCCUGUGUCCCUGUCCCCAUCCCCUGGUGCCAUUGUCCCGUGUCCUGUGUCCCUGUCCCCAUCCCCUGGUGCCAUUGUCCCUGUCCCCAUCCCCUGGUGGCACUGUCCUGUGUCCUGUGUCCCUGUCCCCACCCCCUGGUGCCAUUGUCCUGUGUCCCUGUCCCCAUCCCCUGGUGGCAUUGUCCCUGUCCCCAUCCCCUGGUGCCAUUGUCCCGUGUCCUGUGUCCCUGUCCCUGUCCCAACUGGGAUUGUCCCUGUCCCUGGGAUGUC